UGCCCUCUGUGGCCUAGCUCUUCCAGCUGCCGGAGCUUCGGUUUUCUCUUCACUUACAUUCAUCUCAUCUUCCAAGUUAACCCUGCUCAACACAGAGCCACUCUUCUUGUUGAAUGGAGAUUCCCUCAUCUUUCUCACUUUGGGGUCAGGUGAAACCCCGGAACUCUCAGCAGCAGGCUUCAACAUAUCGGUUAAGAGCUUCUGGCCUGAAGAAGACGAUGUUUGAGUGUCCUUCUUAGCCGCUGCGCCUCUCUUCUUGGCUGCCACAGGGGGCUUAGCCGCUGCUGCUGCCUUUGCAGCUCCAGCAGGCUUUCUGCCU
rnacentral:lncRNA from 1 species